UUGCCCUUUACCAGGCUUUGAUUUAUGUGGACCUAAUAAGAGAAGGGCAAGAACACUCCUUUGUUUGAGCUUUGAAAGAAAAAGGAGGUACGGGACAAUUUACAGCUUGUGCUUUGUUGCUGAAAAGGGGUUUUGUAAAUUUUUUGGAAUAAAUAUUCUCAAACAUGUGAAGGAAAACGAAAAUGCACUAAAUUAAGAGUGCCUUUUAAAUAAAUGGCUAUUGAGAAGAAGAUACGAGUUGUUUUAGUUGAUUCACAGUAAUUAUUAAGAUCAUAUUUUGUGGUUGAGAUGCACAAACAUGGCUUGACUGUUGCAAACUCUUAUCUCAAGAGUACAAAGAGCAGCGUCUGUUCUGAUCCAGCAAACACAACUCUGGCAGCUCUGGCGGCUCUCCACGUAGAGCCUCACUCUCCUGAUAGGAAUCUUCUGAUUUGUGGGCACACUGGUGGUUCAUGUCAAACAGCCCAGCUCUUCUUCCCUUCCAUCCGAGCAGCAGCAGCCCUUCAGCGGUCAUUGGCUCUCACUGGACCAUACACGUGUCUGACCAUACGUGUACGGCAAAUGCUCAAGUGAAUGGAGUUGCCCUGCCUGCAGUAGGCGGGUGUUGGUGUAUUAUACAUUUCAGCUCUUAGGCAGCUGCUGAGGCCUAGGAGGGAUCCUGUCUAUCCUUGUUUCCAUUGGCUGAAGAGUAAGAAGUGACUUCUCAAAUACCACUGUUUAAGUAAGUCCUUACUGUUUACCUCUGAUGUUCAACUCCACUACACAUUGGGAAUCCAGAAACGACAGAUUAUUAAGAGGAUUAAUAGACCCGAUUACAGCGUAUCGCACUGUGUUAUUCAUAUGGAAGCUUUUCAGAAUUGUCUUUCAAUAACUUCUUUCCAAGUCUAAGUAAAAUAGAUGUCUACAGCUGGACAUUUGUGUAGCAUAGCAGGCGAAAAGCAGCACUCCCUAGCAACCAUUUUAGGGCUGAGGGCACGAUAAAAGCAAGCUUGACAAAUGAAAGUGAGAUGCUGCAGCAUGUGGGACCGGCGGAGCAGCCCUGUGGAAUUAUCAAACCCACGCUGUGAACAGCCACACCGGGCUGCAUUCCUGGGGGUCACAGGGAUAGGAAAAAUGCAAGCAGCCACCUAAGCUAGCAAGCAGGAGGUGCUCAGGAGACAGGAUCCUGCAUCUUGACAACUCUGAACCCUUUCCUGGAGUUAAGCCCUAUACCCUUUCUAUUUUUGAAGAAAAAAAAAAAAAAAAAGUGGUGAAUAUUAGGCCUUCUUUUUAACAGGAGAGGAGAAGUGAAAGUUCCAGUUUUAAAUGCUGACCAAGCGGGCAGAGCACCUACCUGGGCUGCAGAAGGCUCAGAUUCAGAUCCCACCUUUGCCAGAGGAGAUCUGACCAUCAGUGCGUGAUGAACAGACUAAUCACCAGGAUGUGGGAUAUCUAAGACAGUGCUCUUUCCAGAUGUGGGGCCGGCUCAGCAGUAUCAUCUAAUGGCUCAGAGAGAAGUGUGGGCCUGCUGUGCCAGCUGUGUAGUCCUGCCCUCUUCUCCAUGCCAGCUCUGAUGGCUUCCUGACCACACAGCACACUGCUAUGAUGCACUAACCAGAAGAUGUUCACCCUGGUUCUGUUGGUUUCACUUUUCCUGGAUGGGGAGAAAAGAGGAGGACAAAGGUGCUAAAGAGCAGGACUUCCUUCCUUGAGCACCAAUGACUGAUGACUUACAGUCCUGCCUGUUAAAGCUGCUCAGCAUCUCAUGGAACUGUAAAAUAUUCCCCGAGCUUGAGAAAGACUAUUUAGCCCAUAAUAGAGAUGCUUAUCUAAGAAAGACGAGACAUGGACUUUCUUCUCUGGCCAUGUAUUUCCCACUGCAAUUAUUUUUCAUUUGAAAUCAUACCGAGCUCAUUUCAGUUGUAUACCUGUCCUAAGCAGUAAGGCUGGGAUUCUGCAGUCUAAGAGAAGUGGCGAAUUGGCUAGGUCUCUCAAUCAGAGAAAUGGAGGUUUGAUUGUGUUUUGAUUCACAUUGUAUAAUCUUCAGUUCAUAAGUAAAUUAGGAAAGCUGAAUGUUCCCUUCCAAACUCAAUAACACAUACAAUUUUCAGGGACUUCAGCGAAUGUCCUGGUUACCUGCCUCUGGCGUGGCUCCCUGUAUCGCUUAUGAGUACUGAGCUGGAUAACUGGAACUCUUCAUAUUCUCAUCUGUCGCUUUGUGCUGCAAUGGGUUCUGCUUGCAACAAAUGCCACUGAAACAAAUCAGCCCCCGGAGGAGAUGCACAGGAAAAUAAUAAGGCGAGGUGCUGCGGCAUCUGCAAUGGGUUGGCACCCGGUCUCAUCCAUGAAGACAAUUUUCAGAAGUGCUAGCACUGGUAAAUCCACUUAAAGACUCGGAGAACUUGCAGACUCUAAUAAGUGUAUUCACUUUUAUUUCUUAUUUGAAGGUUUGGAAAGCUUCCAAACCAUGGAAUUCAGUAAUAUCCCAAGCUGAUGGUGAAUCUCACAGCAAGAUGAAGUGUUGCAGAUCAGCUACUGGCAGGUUUCCCAGCAGGUGAGUCAGGAGCUCAGCUUGUUUGGUUUAAAGCCCGAGGGUGUCUCUGGGCUGCAGAUUAUUUUUUGCUGGGGAUCUGGGACCUCAAGGGUUGGUGGCUUUGGCACAGUGCAGACUAAGAGCAAUAGCUUGCUGAAGAAAGUGAGUUGGAUAAAACUGUGAAUUAGAAAUCAGGAAAAUUGGGAUCUGCUAUGUGACUGCCUCUGCGCGCUAUUUGUAAAAUAAAGCAUUACUCGUCCCCUGUGAAGCCUUCUGAAAUCCCAUUAGAAAGUGCUGUAUGUCAGGAACAUGGUGUUUGCAGUGCUGCUGGGGGUCGCAGGCAUGGCUCCCAGCCCAGAAGAUGACAGAGGGAGAAUCCCUUUCCUAGAUAAUUCUCUUUGAGACAGUAAUACCAGUGCAAAAUGAGUGAAAAUGGCCACCGCUCUGCAGCUGAGGUUAUGUUUAUGACAGUUCAAGCCAGUAUGUCUGACAGAGGUAUCUGUCCCUGAGUGCAGUGGCCAAAAAUGUAUGCCUUAGCAGGCAGAACAACCUUGUGAAAAAUACACUCUGGCCUCAGCUGAAGAGGGCACUGACCAGUAACGCUGCCAGGAUUGGGGGAUCUUCUCUGCCUACCACUAGCUGCCAGCCCAUUCCAGGGUACAAAGCUUACCUUGCCUCUCCUUCCCAGCCCAGCCUCCCCAAAACCCAAUGAGACAGUAACAAAAUAUCAGUUAGUGAUCAUCUUCCUAGACCUACAGGGUCACAUAGGUUGGAGAGAACUUUUGGUGUUAUCCAGCUCCAAGGUGCCACUCGAGACUGGGCCAACAUCUACCAGGUCCUGCAGCCUGGCUGGGGGACAGCCUUAGUAGAGUGGGAGCACAGGCAAGGGCCGUUAGCGAUGUCAGUGUCCUCCUCUAGCUUGCUCCUCACCAUUUGCUCCUUCUUGUCAAGUCUGCUAGUGUUUUGGGCAAGGCUCCUGGUUUCCUCUGCAUCCUUUGCCAAAGGUGUUGCCUGGACUGGAAGACUUCCUUAGCCUCCAUCUGUACUGUGCUCCAGUAUUUGUAUAUGUUUUAUAUUGUGUCCAUCUUAUAUUAUAGUUUUAGGUAGAUAAACUGAAAGAGGUCCAUUCUGUGUAUUGUCUUCCUAUCCAUCCUUUUAAAAAUACAUAUGAGAAAACAAAGAUGGACAAUAUUUACUCUGGGAAUAACUACUUGAGAAUCAGAAGUAACAUAUUUCCCCUUGUUGUUAUGAGUGCAUUUUGGAAAUGUUAUCCUGCUGUUCAUUUAAUGAGAUUGUACUGGGGGAAAAAGCAGGAUGCAGGCGUGGCAAAUGUGUCUAGCAAAUCUUUAAAUGUCUGAGUGGUGACGAUAGUGUGAGCAUGGGUUUAUUGCUCUGCAUUUUAGAAAUACAUUUUAAAAACUUCUAAUUUGGCUAGGCAUUUGUUUGCAUACAGGAAGUUCUGCCUCUCCUUUCUGUGAUUUUAUUGCAACUGUAAUAGAGAUUUUGGAAAUCAAAUGCAUUCCACUAUAUUUCAAGGCUCUGCCGAUGAUACUGUGUGAUAUCUGAUUUAUGAACAGAACGCACUAUUUGCCCCACCUUCUGUGUACCUGAAAGAAAAGUACAAUAAAUUGAGGUUAAUAUAUCCACUUCUUGUACAUCUGGGUGGCUAUAAGGAGACGAAGGUUUCAGUCUCAUAGAUGUUUCUCCACUCACCUUAUGUAAGCUUGAAACACCUUAUUGUUGGUUUUUUUUUUCACCUUUACUUCUCCAGUCUCGUGCUGGAUGCUGCUAAUGGGAUGGUAGAUUUAUUGGCCAUUGAGUCUUCCUUGAGAUUGUUCUAACUGUGUUUUAGUCUUUUGAACUUGUCUAUCAAGUUCACCUGGACAGGGUGCUGGGCCAUCUUGUCUAGACUGCGCUCUUCCUAGAAAGGUUGGAUUAGAUGAUCCCUGAGGUCCCUUCCAACCUAUGAUUCUGUGUGAUCAUUCCUGCCUUCUUCAAAUUAAACAGCAGAUGAGAAGGGAGGAGUUACCCUCUCCUCCACUAACUGGCUAGUGUCAUUACACCACUCUCUUUCGGACUGCCUGCCAGUCCUAGCAUCUAUUUUUUUUAGAAAAUGACUUUUCAGUCAGUAUCUUUUCACUAACUGGAGGUAUUAAUCUUAGGAGCAACUCAGAUCCCAUUAUUUUUAUGUUAUAUGUCAAUUUUAAUUAGCAAGUGGUGUCUGAGGUCAGAUUUUGCCCCUCCCCUUCACCAGCCCCCACUGUCUGCAUCAGAGGUAUUGAGAUGGCCUCUAUGGGAAAUCCUUGGCAUUCUGGAUUUAAAUUGUUGUAUGAGGAGGGAAGGCUUUUGUUCUCUAUCCUUGCCAGCCUCCUCUGGAAGCAGCAAUACUUGAUGCUGACCAGCACCCUGGAGGUGGCUCUUUUCUUGAUAUAUUUUUGGUUAUCAGACAGUGCCAGCUAUAAUUUUAUUAGCCAUUUCACCUUAAGUCAAAUUCUGAUUACCUGAUUGGAAUAUUAUUGUGCCAUUUCUGAAAUGGUUAUUUUUAUCAAAUAAUUUUUAAGCACUGGAAGUAGAGCUGAACAAGCUGCAAAGAGAAUGUGAUGUUGCUAAGAACUUAAGAAGGAUGUUGAUGAAAGAUAAUGUCUCAUAGAAAACUGGAUAGACUAAAAAAUAACCUUGCUACAUCUGGAUACUGUCUUUGUCAUGGCAUUAGAUAGCUAUUACAAACUGUCUGCUGUCUUUCCUGCUGUGAAACAAGAGGUGAGGGAAAUACAUUUUUAGCCAUUUUUACAUUUCAUUAACAAACGGUCUUACUUGAAAAUGCAGUUCUCUAGAUCUUGGCAGUAAUGCCUGUUGACAGGCGCAUAAGUCUCCUCUCAGUGAUUUGUGGGGCUGGAUAUUAAACCUGCAAAAUCCUAAAUGUACCUGGCCAUGUACUGUAAGAUGAGAGUGCUGGUAAUGUUAUUGGUCAAAAUACCUUCCCUGAGACCAAUACAAUUCCAUGGUCAUGUAGCAAACUGCAGCCUCCUACCAUCAGACUUGUUCAUUGUCUUCCAGAUGAGCCCCAUACUCAAGAAAAAGUAAUAUCUAGCUUAUUUUCAAGCUGCUGUAGCUCCUUAGGCCUCACAACAAUAAAGAAAUACUAUUCUCAACCCAAAGAAUAAUCUUAAUCUACCCUUAAGAUACCAGCAACUGAAAGUAAUCAGGUAAAUGUUAUUGUACGCCUUUUCUUCUUCCAAAUUACUUGUGAAGAAUGCAGUUAUUGCAAGCAGGGAGUGCCCGGGCAUUCAUGUCCUCUGGUGUAUGACCCUCGGUGGGCCAGUGCCAUGCCCUGGGUGCUGCUGCCUGCUGCUGGGGGGGACGUGGCAUGCAAGGAGCGCACCCACAGAUGCUGCUCUUCUGAAGAUGUUUCUAAUAUUAGAUUUAUGUUAUUUAUCUCUGCUCUCCCUAGAGCCAGGAAAAAAACCUACUGAAAGAAGCCAACAAGGAAAGUAAGGCAAAAUAUGAAGAACUGACUUGUGUUUGUUGUUAAAGAACAUUGUGAAAUGCUUGCUGUGCAACUCUAGAUCAUCCGCAGAAGAGUUAUGGAAAUCACACUGGCAUGAGCAUUGUGCAGCGUUUACAUCUCUGUUUCACUCUUAAAAUGAGCAAAUUGGGGUUAUAGAGAAAUAUAUGUGAUUCUGAGGCAUUCUGCUAACUGAAUUUCUCCCCAAAUGUGUACAAGUAUAAUGGCAUAGAUCCCUCAGGCAAACUUGCAUCAUCCAGUGAUGAACAGGCCAAGGAAAGUUCAGAUACGUGCAACCAAUACAAAAGCCGAAGUCCAAGAAAGGCCACUGAAAGCAGGAAUGGUGUUUACUUAAAACACUGUGAUUAAACAUUAAAAGCUAUGUUUUAGGCUCAGGUAUCUGCAGCAGGUUCCCUUGUUGCCACUGGCCCUGCGUCAGCACACUGCCACAUCAAACAGUAUGCUCAAGCAAGCAUGCAAUGAAACCACGAUGGAGACUUGCAAGACCUCAACCUGAGCUGUGUGGUUCAGUGCUUCCAGCCUUGAGGCCACAGUGUGAGGAUGCGGGGGACGUCAUGGCUCAUGUUUCUGUCCAGGCUAUUAAGUCCCUGCUGUUGUUGCUGGUUACAUACAGACAGGGCUGCAUGCAAUACUGAUACUGCAUAAAAUACAUCAGAAGUCUUGGUUGUGCUAGUGCUAAUAUAUCAGAAACCUCCUUAACUUUUGAUUAAGCUUUGGUUGGUGUUGAUGUAAUUAGGCUGGAGUCAACAAACAACGCCCUCUCUAAAAAGUUCAGGCAUGAGUGAAUUAACAUUUCUGGGACUGUGGAGGGACUUGUUUGGACUUUGGGUAAAAGGCUGCGGUUGAAUGGCAUGGUAAGUCUGGCUGCAGGGCUCCUGAUACUGGACCCAAAAUGAUGCAGUGAAUUAACGCGGUAUGAACUCCUCCUGUGGUUUCAGAUUUGUUCCAGAAAACUUGGAUGGGCUGACUUUGUACUGAGAAGCUUUACACAAGAUCAGGUUUCAGAUGUCCUCUGCAGCCAGUGCUCCUAGUUGCAUAAAGCUGAAAUAAAUUCCCUGCUCGUUGUGGAGGUUAUUCAACAGAAAUAUGACCAUCUGCCUGUGCCUGCUCUAGAUCAUAUUUGUAGUGCUGAGUAACCCGAUAGCACAUUGAUAAACACUAGUGAUCACAGAACUGUGGUCUCGGAGGUACGAGCCUGAGAUUAAAAAACAUCUUGAAAUGGUUAAGUUUUUCCCUAUAGUAGCUUUACUACUUAUUAUUUCAGAUAUUCACUUGCAAAAAGGCAGGGGGUCGGGGGGAGCAUUAAAAACUAAAGGGAAGGAGCCAACUCAGCUUUCUGCUGCAUGAUCAUUUUGUAUAUUUGUGAGAAGAUGAUGCCUUGUACCUUCCUCUCUUCUCCCUAAUACAGAGCAGAAUCAUUAAGACUCUGCUAAUAAAGUCCAUUUGGGUUGUCUGUGCAAUCUCCUGUGCAUUUAACAAAGGACUAAAUUAAAUCAAGCGUCCGUUGGUUAGCUGACCAAUGUCAACUGGAAUCAAAAGGAAGCAAUGGUGUUCUGCCCAAAAGCAACUAGGGAUUUUAAUUCAUUGCUGAAAGUGCAGUAUUUUACAUUGCUCUUUUAUCUGUCCUCUACCAAAGGCGUCUUUAACAAGAGCUGUACAGACACUUGUCACAGUCCUGCUGUCUGUUACCUACCUCUAAUUCUUACAAAGCACUGAAAUUUAUAAUGCUACAUUAAGCUUGAUUCAUUAUCACUCUUCUUAGUUCACUCACAGCAGUCCUGUUUGUGUCAACAAAACUUCAUGAAAAGCACUGCUUGUUAUCCCGAGGGGGACUGAUAGCUGUAUUCCUUGUACCACAGCCCGGUUUUUCUGAAUAAGAUUUUAUCUACAGCUAUUUCAGGGUUUUUUUUCUGUUCCUUUAUGCUGAUUUAAGUUUAAAAUUGUAAUAAGAACUUUUCAGUAGCUUUUUCUGGUAGCGUUGUUACUAGGACAAAGAUAAAAUAUUCGUAGGGCUUUUUCUAAUGAGUAUUUCAAGUUUGCAAAUCUUUAUGACGUGUUUUACCUAGUGCCAAGGGGAAGAAAAGGAACACCAGACAACGUGAUGUUGCAAAGCUCGGUCUAAUUUAGCUGGCCAACCAAGGGACAGGCUCUGCCAGAAACAGCUUUUCACCUACUCAGACACCCCCAUCAACUGAGAUCUGCCCCUCUCAUCUCUCCAAUGAGUUAGUGAUGCUCGUUCCAGCUGGUCCCACAGGGGAAUUUGGGCAGUGGCUUGGCUCCAGUGUGUGAUGGUGCCAGCUCAGAUGCUAUGUGGCGUCAGACAUCUGUGUGACAGUCCUGCCCUCAUCACCAGCCCUGAGGAUCAUUACAGCCAUGUGUCAGCACUGGUCACCAGUCCCUCUGGCCAUGAUGGCAUCCCGCUACUCCUCUCUGAUGGUUUCAGGUAUGGUCUCCCAUGAGGUACUCAGCUCACAUAAUGCUCACGCCAUGGUUUGCAUUGCCCUGUUGUCUGCAGCUCACCACGCUCAGCGCAUUUGCGCCAUGCCCAGCUCUUGGCCCAGGUGAUGCCAUGAUACUCCCACGUCACCUAAAAUUGUGGAGAGGAACUUCCUGCAGUUAAGCUUUGCAUCUUUUGGGGAUCUGGGCCUAAAUCUUUUGAUUAAAUACAGAACUGAUGAAACAUAUAUAUAUAUAUGUAUACAUAUAUAACAACAGACCAGACCAGAAAACUCACUAAUGCUGAAGAGAAGUAACUCUUUUUUUUGUUCUUUCUGACACAUUGCUAUUUAAUUUCCCUUGUCUCAGUUGCAGGGCCUCCUUCUGCUUGACUGGCUAAGUGCAAGGGUCUCACAGUUUCUGGGGCAGGGACCCAUACUCCAGCUACCACACUAGAAAGAUGGUGGCUCAGUUGUCCAGGUGGAUGCCAGGGCACGGCUGGCCACCUGGGUCCCCAUGGGCAUGUCACUGGCAUCCACAGAAAGUACUUCUAAACUCAGAAGCUUGUGAUGGCCAGCCCUGGGAGUCCAAAAAUCUGGUCUCUCUGUUGACCUAAAAGAGAAAGAACAUGAAUUAUGUUUAUGUAAAAAAAUAAAAAAAGGUGAAACACAUGAGAAAGAUCUUCAGAAACAAAUCCAUUUUCUCUAGUGAGUUUGAGGGGCUGCAAAUGAUAAUUGUCCGCUAUUUAGGAACAAUAAUUUAAAGCAGAGUGAAAUAAAGGGAGUGAUACUCCCAAAGUGAUAAUUUAUAAGGGCUUGUAAUCAUUGUAAUUAAAUGUAUAUUAGAAAUCUAUAACUACAUUAUGAAGCUGAUUUAAAAUGACAGUUACUUUCUUGCAUCAUGUACCUCUUUCUAACUAUGAGUUGUAAUUGUCAAAGCUGAAUUAACAAUGUUUGUAUUAAAAUGUACUCAGUGUAUGCUUGCUGCACAAACCUGCCAGGUUUGGAAAUGACAUGCUUUUCAGAAUACCUCCAGACCUUAAAAGGACACUGGGGCUUCUGAGUCAGGAAAAUACUGAGCGAAUUCAUAUAUUACAUUGUAAAAAUCUGUGGCUGCAAGAUUGUCCACAGCAGAAGCAGAUAAAGAAAUACAAAUUUUAGAUAUCCCUGUGUGCCUGCAUAUUAAAGAGCAACUUUCUGAGUUUCAGAGCAAGGGUGAUAAAGUUCCCUUCAAGAAGUUGUUGCUGCCACAUCGCACACUUCCUUCAAAAUUUUAUUGCAUAGCAAAGCCUUGUUUCUUUUAAUGAGAUUCCUAACCAAUUGCAGAGUAGUCUAUUGAAUUAAAACCUACAAUUUUUUAGAACUAAGGACCCUAAACUGGAGAGCUGGGAGCCCGGAUCCCCAAGGACAGCAACAGUCCCUGAAAGUGCAGCAGUAGAAUUUCUUGAUUGUGAAAACUAGUCUUCAAUCUUCCAAUAAAUGGUUCCCAUUAGCAGCUGUUCAACGGUUAAUUACGUCUCACUGUAGGUUUCUCCUGUUUCUCUGUGUGUGUGUGUGUGUGUAUGAGGACUUGCCUUCCUCCUCGCUUCUGAGAUACCAGGAGAAGAUCUGGGAGGACAGUAAG